AUAAAAAAAUAAAAACCUAUUUAAAAAAACAACAUUCUGCUGGAAGGAUAUAUGUGGUCUGUUUCUUAGAGAGGUGAAUUAUGGUGCACUGGAGGUGUCAAAGUCUGGAAAAAGUGAACUGAACCUGAGGUCCUGAUUCUGACGGAGGUGCAAUUUGUGGUUCUACUGGAAAGGAAGUGAGCUUGUUGAAGACUGAUAACAUUUCAUUAGAUUGUGGAGGGACACCACAGGGAAAAGUUAAAAAUAAAGCAAGAAAUACAGAGCUUUAUAAAGAUCAACAGGGUGAUACAGAAUUGAGAUAUCCUGCCUACAGGUAAAAUUACAAUAGAAAUAGUACCGAAAGGCAAAGUAUCGUAAGGGAUUGUGUAAUACAGGGAAGAGCAGAGGCUCUAGAGUACAGCAUAUGGGAUUUCCAUUAGAAAAGUUAGUCAGAGGGCAGCCAAAAGGAGAGAUGGCAAUAGGAGAGCAGGAGGAGAUUAAUUACAUAGCAGAAGAAAGGCACGAUCCUCUCACGGGGAGACAAGCAGGGCUGCUCUGCUUUUAUAGAUAAUUAUUCCUAGUGAGGCCUAAGAUCCAAGUUCUUCCACGAAGGCACUUAUUCUAGAAAUGAAAUACUAAAAAUUUCAUUAAGCCAAAUCUUUCAUGAUGUCUUCUUCUAGUUCCUUUUUCAGGUGUACACAGUUUUAAGGGAAUAAAUGCACCCUCAGCCAAGGGAGAUGGAGAAAAAGUGACUGUACCUUGUGCAAGCCUUGCUGAUCGCAGAACAAUCAGGCCAAUUCUGUGUGUCGCAGAAUUACAGUGAUUCUGGCAGGAGAUUUUCACGGCCUCAUAAGAACUUAAUGGUGCAGAAAGCUCUGGUGACCCUGACGUGCUGCUUGCAUAUUUUGAUCUCUGUUUAAAUCUAUGCAGUUUUUGUGCAUCUAAAAAUAGGUCUGGAGGAGAAUGUAUUACUUAAUAUGUAUUCAGAGAAAGCAGAAGGAAAAGGAGGGCAUUUUAUCAAAAGUUAAAGAAUCCAUCAAACAAUAUGCACUGAAAAACUGCCAUGGUCUGGGAUCUUGGGAAGGUUCAAGGUUACAAAAUCCAAAGAGUCACAGUUGCCCACAGG